UUUUCAUUUCUUUCAGGCUUAGUUCCUGAAGAUUUAUUAAUUUCCUUUGAUAGGAGUUGUGUUUUCCUGAUUCUUCAUGGUCCAUGUAGAUGUGUUGAUGUCUGUGCAACUGAAGGAACAAUCACCUCUUCCAGUAUUUAUAGACUGCUUUUUGCAGGUCUGCAGGCCUGCCUCUGUGAGUACAGAUGGGUUUGUCUCCAGUGUGUGGGUACACCUGCCUGUGGACUGAGCUGAUCAGGGUUGAAGCUAGGUCACAGAGAUGCUUCAGGAGUUGAAGUUGGAACUGCAGUCAGCCAGCCUGUUACCCAAGAGACAAGCAGAAUACAUUAUCUUUUGUUUUAUGCUGAAGUAGAGUGCAGCAAGCAAAAAGCAGCAAAAGACACAUAAUCAAAGUACUUGGAAUGCUGACUGUAAAAUUAUGCUGAGAACUGGCUGCAUGAUAAGAUGCUUUUCCUUCCUCUUUGUUAUUUGUAUUAUUUUGUAAAGAUAGGCCAGUGUGAGUAUGUCCAAAUAAGCUAAUAAUCUAUUUCCCUUAAAAUUUCAGCAAAUAUUCAAGAGAAUAAAAAUGU
rnacentral:lncRNA from 1 species